rnacentral:rRNA from 1 species
AACGAACGCUGGCGGCAUGCCGAACACAUGCAAGUCGAACGAGAUCUUCGGGUCUAGUGGCGCACGUGUGCGUAACGCGUGGGAAUCUGCCCUUUGGUUCGGAAUAACAGUGGGAAACGACUGCCAAUUCCGGAAGAUGACGAAAGUCCCAAAAUUUCAGGCCAGAGGAUGAGCCCGCGUAGGAUUAGCUAGGUGGUGUGGGAAAGGCGAUCCAAGGCGACGAUCCUUAGCUGGUCGGAGAGGAUGAUGAGCCACAGUGGGACUGAGACACGGCCCAGACUCCUACGCGAGGCAGCAGUGGGGAAUAUUGGACAAUGGGCGAAGGCCUGAUCCAGCAAGGCCGCGUGAGUGAUGAAGGCCUUAGGGUUGUAAAGCUCUUUUACCCGGGAUGAUAAUGACAGUACCGGGAGAAUAAGCUCCGGCUAACUCCGUGCCAGCCGCCGCGGUAA